AUUUUAGAAUGAUGAAUAAUUUAUUGUCAAACAGUUAUCCCUGUCAUAAGAGAUUUUGAUGAAAAUUUGUUUUCUGAAAAAGAA